rnacentral:rRNA from 1 species
UCGGCUUCGUAUGCGAGCGAUUACGGGUGAUUAAACCCGUAAUUGGGUGAACGUAGGAGAGAAACUUCGGUGAGGGCUCAGCGAAGUUGGUCCUGAUAGUUCUCGGAUCGAUCCUAGUAAUGUGCAUAUGGGGCCGG